CAACUUUCAACAACGGAUCUCUUGGCUCUCGCAUCGAUGAAGAACGCAGCGAAAUGCGAUAAGUAAUGUGAAUUGCAGAAUUCAGUGAAUCAUCGAAUCUUUGAACGCACCUUGCGCCCUCUGGUAUUCCGGAGGGCAUGCCUGUUUGAGUGUCAUGU
rnacentral:rRNA from 1 species